UACGAAGGGUGCAAGCGUUAAUCGGAAUUACUGGGCGUAAAGCGUGCGUAGGUGGUUUGUUAAGUCUGAUGUGAAAGCCCCGGGCUCAACCUGGGAAUGGCAUUGGAAACUGGCUUGCUAGAGUGCGGUAGAGGGUAGCGGAAUUUCCGGUGUAGCGGUGAAAUGCGUAGAGAUCGGAAGGAACAUCCGUGGCGAAGGCGGCUACCUGGACCAGCACUGACACUGAGGCACGAAAGCGUGGGGAGCAAACAGG
rnacentral:rRNA from 1 species